rnacentral:rRNA from 1 species
UGGCGUGCCUUUUGUAGAAUGAACCGGCGAGUUACGAUCUGAUGCAAGGUUAAGCAGAAAAUGUGGAGCCGUAGCGAAAGCGAGUCUGAAUAGGGCGUGUAGUAUUUGGUCGUAGACCCGAAACCAGGUGAUCUACCCAUGGUCAGGUUGAAGUUCAGGUAACACUGAAUGGAGGACCGAACCGACUUACGUUGAAAAGUGAGCGGAUGAACUGUGGGUAGCGGAGAAAUUCCAAUCGAACUUGGAGAUAGCUGGUUCUCUCCGAAAUAGCUUUAGGGCUAGCCUCAAGUGAUGAUUAUUGGAGGUAGAGCACUGUUUGGACGAGGGGCCCCUCUCGGGUUACCGAAUUCAGACAAACUCCGAAUGCCAAUUAAUUUAACUUGGGAGUCAGAACAUGGGUGAUAAGGUCCGUGUUCGAAAGGGAAACAGCCCAGACCACCAGCUAAGGUCCCAAAAUAUAUGUUAAGUGGAAAAGGAUGUGGCGUUGCCCAGACAACUAGGAUGUUGGCUUAGAAGCAGCCAUCAUUUAAAGAGUGCGUAAUAGCUCACUAGUCGAGUGACACUGCGCCGAAAAUGUACCGGGGCUAAACAUAUUACCGAAGCUGUGGAUUGUCCUUUGGACAAUGGUAGGAGAGCGUUCUAAGGGCGUUGAAGCAUGAUCGCAAGGACAUGUGGAGCGCUUAGAAGUGAGAAUGCCGGUGUGAGUAGCGAAAGACGGGUGAGAAUCCCGUCCACCGAUUGACUAAGGUUUCCAGAGGAAGGCUCGUCCGCUCUGGGUUAGUCGGGUCCUAAGCUGAGGCCGACAGGCGUAGGCGAUGGAUAACAGGUUGAUAUUCCUGUACCACCUAUAAUCGUUUUAAUCGAUGGGGGGACGCAGUAGGAUAGGCGAAGCGUACGAUUGGAUUGUACGUCUAAGCAGUGAGAUUGAGUGUUAGGCAAAUCCGGCACUCUUAAGAUUGAGCUGUGAUGGGGAGAGGAAAUUGUUUCCUCGAGUCGUUGAUUUCACACUGCCGAGAAAAGCCUCUAGAUAGAGAUUAGGUGCCCGUACCGCAAACCGACACAGGUAGUCAAGAUGAGAAUUCUAAGGUGAGCGAGCGAACUCUCGUUAAGGAACUCGGCAAAAUGACCCCGUAACUUCGGGAGAAGGGGUGCUCUUUAGGGUGCAAGCCCAGAAGAGCCGCAGUGAAUAGGCCCAAGCGACUGUUUAUCAAAAACACAGGUCUCUGCUAAACCGUAAGGUGAUGUAUAGGGGCUGACGCCUGCCCGGUGCUGGAAGGUUAAGAGGAGUGGUUAGCUUCUGCGAAGCUACGAAUCGAAGCCCCAGUAAACGGCGGCCGUAACUAUAACGGUCCUAAGGUAGCGAAAUUCCUUGUCGGGUAAGUUCCGACCCGCACGAAAGGCGUAACGAUUUGGGCACUGUCUCAACGAGAGACUCGGUGAAAUCAUAGUACCUGUGAAGAUGCAGGUUACCCGCGACAGGACGGAAAGACCCCGUGGAGCUUUACUGUAGCCUGAUAUUGAAAUUCGGCACAGCUUGUACAGGAUAGGUAGGAGCCUUUGAAACGUGAGCGCUAGCUUACGUGGAGGCGUUGGUGGGAUACUACCCUAGCUGUGUUGGCUUUCUAACCCGCACCACUUAUCGUGGUGGGAGACAGUGUCAGGCGGGCAGUUUGACUGGGGCGGUCGCUCCUAAAGGUAACGGAGGCGCUCAAAGGUUCCCUCAGAAUGGUUGGAAUCAUUCAAUAGAGUGUAAAGGCAUAAGGGAGCUUGACUGCGAGACCUACAAGUCGAGCAGGGUCGAAAGACGGACUUAGUGAUCCGGUGGUUCCGCAUGGAAGGGCCAUCGCUCAACGGAUAAAAGCUACCCCGGGGAUAACAGGCUUAUCUCCCCCAAGAGUUCACAUCGACGGGGAGGUUUGGCACCUCGAUGUCGGCUCAUCGCAUCCUGGGGCUGUAGUCGGUCCCAAGGGUUGGGCUGUUCGCCCAUUAAAGCGGUACGCGAGCUGGGUUCAGAACGUCGUGAGACAGUUCGGUCCCUAUCCGUCGUGGGCGUAGGAAAUUUGAGAGGAGCUGUCCUUAGUACGAGAGGACCGGGAUGGACAUACCUCUGGUGUACCAGUUGUCGUGCCAACGGCAUAGCUGGGUAGCUAUGUAUGGACGGGAUAAGUGCUGAAAGCAUCUAAGCAUGAAGCCCCCCUCAAGAUGAGAUUUCCCAACUUCGGUUAUAAGAUCCCUCAGAGAUGAUGAGGUUAAUAGGUUCGAGGUGGAAGCGUGGUGACACGUGGAGCUGACGAAUACUAAUCGAUCGAAGACUUAAUCAAUUU